UGCAAGUCGAGGGGCAGCGGGGAGGUAGCAAUACCUUUGCCGGCGACCGGCGCACGGGUGAGUAACACGUAUGCAAUCCACCUGUAACAGGGGGAUAACCCGGAGAAAUCCGGACUAAUACCCCAUAAUAUGGGCUCUCCGCAUGGAGGGUUCAUUAAAGAGAGCAAUUUUGGUUACAGACGAGCAUGCGCUCCAUUAGCCAGUUGGCGGGGUAACGGCCCACCAAAGCGACGAUGGAUAGGGGUUCUGAGAGGAAGGUCCCCCACAUUGGAACUGAGACACGGUCCAAACUCCUACGGGAGGCAGCAAUGAGGAAUAUUGGUCAAUGGUCGGCAGACUGAACCAGCCAAGUCGCGUGAGGGAAGACGGCCCUACGGGUUGUAAACCUCUUUUGUCGGAGAGUAAAGUACGCUACGUGUAGCGUAUUGCAAGUAUCCGAAGAAAAAGCAUCGGCUAACUCCGUGCCAGCAGCCGCGGUAAUACGGAGGAUGCGAGCGUUAUCCGGAUUUAUUGGGUUUAAAGGGUGCGUAGGCGGCACGCCAAGUCAGCGGUGAAAUUUUCGGGCUCAACCCGGACUGUGCCGUUGAAACUGGCGAGCUAGAGUGCACAAGAGGCAGGCGGAAUGCGUGGUGUAGCGGUGAAAUGCAUAGAUAUCACGCAGAACCCCGAUUGCGAAGGCAGCCUGCUAGGGUGCGACAGACGCUGAGGCACGAAAGCGUGGGUAUCGAACAGGAUUAGAUACCCUGGUAGUCCACGCAGUAAACGAUGAAUACUAACUGUUUGCGAUACAAUGUAAGCGGUGCAGCGAA
rnacentral:rRNA from 1 species